rnacentral:sRNA from 1 species
GAGUGUGGUGCACCCACCUGUAGUCCCAGUGCUUGGGAAGCUGAGGCAGGAGAAUCACUUGAGCCCAGGAGUCUGAGACCAGCCUGGGCAACACAGUGAGACCCUGUUUUAA